rnacentral:misc_RNA from 1 species
GAUGAAGAACGUAGCAAAAUGCGAUAAGUAGUGUGAAUUGCAGAAUUCAGUGAAUCAUCGAAUCUUUGAACGCACAUUGCGCCCCUUGGUAUCCCGAGGGGCAUGCCUGUUCGAGCGUCAUUUCACCACUCAAGCCUGGCUUGGUGUUGGGCGACGUCCUCUUUGGGGACGCGCCUCGAAACGCUCGGCGGCGUGGCACCGGCUUUAAGCGUAGCAGAAUCUUUCGCUUUGGAAGUCGGGGCCCCGUCUGCCGGAAGACCUGCUCGCAAGGUUGACCUCGGAUCAGGCAGGGAUACCCGCUGAACUUAAGCAUAUCAAUAAGCGAGGA